rnacentral:tRNA from 1 species
UGAUAAUUAGUUUAAAUCAAAACAAGUGAUUUCGACUCACUAAAUUGUGCACU